UGAACGCUGGCGGCGUGCUUAACACAUGCAAGUCGAACGAUGAACCUCACUUGUGGGGGGAUUAGUGGCGAACGGGUGAGUAACACGUGAGUAACCUGCCCUUGACUCUGGGAUAAGCCUGGGAAACCGGGUCUAAUACUGGAUACGACCUUCUGGCGCAUGCCAUGUUGGUGGAAAGCUUUUGUGGUUUUGGAUGGACUCGCGGCCUAUCAGCUUGUUGGUGGGGUAAUGGCCUACCAAGGCGACGACGGGUAGCCGGCCUGAGAGGGUGACCGGCCACACUGGGACUGAGACACGGCCCAGACUCCUACGGGAGGCAGCAGUGGGGAAUAUUGCACAAUGGGCGCAAGCCUGAUGCAGCGACGCCGCGUGAGGGAUGAAGGCCUUCGGGUUGUAAACCUCUUUCAGGAGGGAAGAAGCCGGCUUUUGGGUUGGUGACGGUACCUGCAGAAGAAGCGCCGGCUAACUACGUG
rnacentral:rRNA from 1 species